rnacentral:rRNA from 1 species
GACGAACGCUGGCGGCGUGCUUAACACAUGCCAGUCGAACGGAAAGGCCCUGCUUUUGUGGGGUGCUCGAGUGGCGAACGGGUGAGUAACACGUGAGUAACCUGCCCUUGACUUUGGGAUAACUUCAGGAAACUGGGGCUAAUACCGGAUAGGAGCUCCUGCUGCAUGGUGGGGGUUGGAAAGUUUCGGCGGUUGGGGAUGGACUCGCGGCUUAUCAGCUUGUUGGUGGGGUAGUGGCUUACCAAGGCUUUGACGGGUAGCCGGCCUGAGAGGGUGACCGGCCACAUUGGGACUGAGAUACGGCCCAGACUCCUACGGGAGGCAGCAGUGGGGAAUAUUGCACAAUGGGCGGAAGCCUGAUGCAGCAACGCCGCGUGCGGAAUGACGGCCUUCGGGUUGUAAACCGCUUUCGCCUGUGACGAAGCGUGAGUGACGGUAAUGGGUAAAGAAGCACCGGCUAACUACGUG